GACGAACGCUGGCGGCGUGCUUAACACAUGCAAGUCGAACGGAAAGGCCCUGCUUUUGUGGGGUGCUCGAGUGGCGAAGGGGGGAGUAACACGUGAGUAAACUGCCCUUGACUUUGUGAUAUCUUCAGGAAACUGGGGCUAAUACCGGAUAGGAGCUCCUGCAGCAUGGUGUGGGUUGGAAAGUUUCGGCGGUUGUGGAUAGACUCGCGGCUUAUGCGCUUGUUGGGCGGGUAGGUGCUGACCAAGCCUUUGAAGGGUAGGCGGCCUGGGAGGGUGGCCGGCCACAUUGGUACUGAGAGACGGCCCAGUAGCCAACGGGCCGCAGCAGGCGAGAACAUUGCACAGUGGGCGGACGCCUGAGGCAACGACGCCGCGUGCGGGAUGACGGGCUUCGAGUUGUAAACAGCUUUCGACGGUGACGUGGCGUGAGUGACGGUACUGAGUAAAGAAGCACCGGCUAACUACGUG
rnacentral:rRNA from 1 species